GACAGAGGUUGCAACCGUUGUUCGGAAUCACUGGGCCUAAAGCGCACGUAGGCGGCCAACUAAGUCAGAUGUGAAAUCCCCCGGCUCAACCGAGGAACUGCGUCUGAUACUGAUUGGCUUGAGAACGGUAGGGGUGAGCGGAACUCCAGGUGGAGCGGUGAAAUGCGUAGAUAUCUGGAGGAACACCGGUGGCGAAAGCGGCUCACUGGACCGUAACUGACGCUGAGGUGCGAAAGCUAGGGUAGCAAACGGG
rnacentral:rRNA from 1 species